GAUGAACGCUAGCGAUAGGCUUAACACAUGCAAGUCGAGGGGCAUCACAUGAGUAGCAAUACGAUGGUGGCGACCGGCGCACGGGUGAGUAACACGUCUGCAACCUACCCAUAACUGGGGGAUAACCCGUCGAAAGGCGGACUAAUACCGCAUAACACUGUUUUUUUGCAUGAGAAGACAGUUAAAGAAGUUCGGUUAUGGAUGGGCAUGCGUUCCAUUAGGUAGUUGGUAAGGUAACGGCUUACCAAGCCUACGAUGGAUAGGGGUUCUGAGAGGAAGGUCCCCCACACUGGUACUGAGACACGGACCAGACUCCUACGGGAGGCAGCAGUGAGGAAUAUUGGUCAAUGGGCGGGAGCCUGAACCAGCCAAAUCGCGUGAAGGAUGAAGGUAUUAUGUAUUGUAAACUUCUUUUGUCAGGGAAUAAAGUGCAUCACGUGUGGUGUUUUGUAUGUACCUGAAGAAUAAGGAUCGGCUAACUCCGUGCCAGCAGCCGCGGUAAUAC
rnacentral:rRNA from 1 species